UGAUGUAAAGACAAUCUGCCAGAGACAUCUGCCACACUACUGAUUGUCAGGGUUGAUUCUAGCUGAUCUAACUGAUCAGGCAGGUGAACCUUCUUCACUGACCACUUAAGAGAUAUGCCACCUGUAGCUGCAUGCCCUAAGAAGACAGCUCUACCUAACUGUGUGGCAUUCUCUUUGGCCGAAGGUAAAGAACUGUACUUCCUUACUUGAACUUACAUGCUCAAAAUAUCAGUUUCUCUAAGAACUAAACGUUGGCUGAUAUGUGUUGUCAAGGAAGAAAAAUGAGCAAAUUCAUGAAUUAAGGUUGUUUACCUUUCUGU
rnacentral:snRNA from 1 species